rnacentral:rRNA from 1 species
AGGACGAACGCUGGCGGCGUGCUUAACACAUGCAAGUGGAGCGACGAACCAGGGCUUGCCCUGGGGCAGAGCCGCGAACGGGUGAGUAACACGUGGGUUACCUGCCUCGAUGACCGGGACAACCCGAGGAAAACUCGGGCUAAUACCGGAUGUGCCCGCAAGGGGAAAGGAAGCUUCGGCCUCCGCAUCGAGAUGGGCCCGCGGCCCAUUAGCUUGUUGGUGAGGUAACGGCUCACCAAGGCUUCGAUGGGUAGCUGGUCUGAGAGGACGAUCAGCCACACUGGGACUGAGACACGGCCCAGACUCCUACGGGAGGCAGCAGUGGGGAAUCUUGCGCAAUGCGCGAAAGCGUGACGCAGCAACGCCGCGUGGGGGAAGAAGGCUUUCGGGUUGUAAACCCCUUUCAGUUGGGACGAAGCUUCGACGGUGAAUAGCCGGACGGAGUGACGGUACCUUCACAAGAAGCACCGGCUAACUACGUGACCAGCAAGCCGCGGU